ensembl:lncRNA
CGCUCUCCAUGAGAGCAUCGUCAAGAAACACGCUUCCGGAGGAGUACUGUCUGAGUCCUUUUUGGCUGCUAUAACAAAACGCCACAGACUAGGGGGCUGAUAAACAGCAGAAUUUUAUUUCUCACAGUUCUGGAGGUUGGAAGUCCAAAAUCAAGGUGCCAGCACGGUCAUGUUCUGGUGACGGCCCUCCUCCUGCUUCGUAGGUGCUGCCUUCUCACUGUGGCGGAAGGGGCAAGCAAGCUCUCUAGGGUCUCUUCGAUAAGGGCACCAAUCUCAGUGAUGAGGGCUCCACUCUCAGAUGUAAUCGCCUCCCAAAGGCCCACCUCCUAAUACCAUCACUUUGGGGGUUAGGAUUUCAGCAUACGAAUUUCAAGGAGACACAAACAUUUAGACCAGAGCAGAUACUACCAUCCUUUAUCAGCCAGUGCUCAGCUGAUCCUCCCGUGACCGACUCUGGAAUGGGCUUCGCAGGCCUCACUUACGGUCUUGCUCUGGAUCUGGGCUUUGCUCUCUCCUGGCCUGGCCACCUCACACUCAACUUCAGGUUUUGGCAGAGCCCCAACUACCUUCAACUCCCUCCAACCGUCAUGCUGCCUGUGCCCCAGAUCUCUUGGGAAACUGCCUGAAGAAGCAGUCUGUUGGCCACAGAAGAAACCAACCCUUCCCUUUAAUGGCCUCCCACAUCCUGAAAUAAACAGAAGCAAUGACCUAGAUAAGUCCCAGCCUGAUUCACCAGGUUUGGUCCCCAAUUGCUGAAAUUCCCUUCCCGGGGCUCUCAGGAACCAGGCCUGGGUAGAAGGAUUGGGUGGGACUGGCCCUGGGCCGUAUGGCAGGACGCCACAAGGAGCUAUAGGUCAGGAUCUGCGGUGAAGUUGAGGUCUUCCAACAGGACCAGGCUGAAAGGCAGACGCUAGGCCAGAGCACCAGGCCACCUGAACGUGUACAAGCUCAGAGCACAAACGGAGGCCACGGACCAUAUUCCUCAGUGUUUAAAAAUUAUGAAGAAAUUGAAGCCCAGAGACAUUAAGUAACCUUCCCAGGAUCACCAGCAGACACCUGGGUUUCUCCAGCAGCAACGACGAAGAGGGCAUGUGACAGACUGCAGCCACGUAUAAACUACCAUCCAGGAGUGUUCAACACAGCACACGGUCUGGCUGCACCUGAAUCAAAUCCGGUCAGUGAAAUGAACCCAGGCGUGCCCGACUGUCACGGGUAAACCGGAAUGGCGAGGUGGUGAAGGACAGUUUGGAGCAAUCACAUGGGAACUUAACUCUCCAAACCAUUACUGUCCUUUUCAAAGUCGGCCCCCUGGAGACUCCGCUUCUUCUGCCAGGGGCCUUCAACCCGGCACAUUGGAACCACCUGGGGAGUUUUACUGUACUGGUGCUCAGUCUGACUUCCCGAGAUUCUGCCUGAAUUAGGCAGGCGGGGCCCGGGCAUGGGGAUUUUUCAAAUCUUACCAGGUGGUUCUAACAUGCAGAGGGUUCAGAAUUACCGCUCCGAGACUUUUGGGAACUCUUCCCAUAGAAAAGCCUUCAAAGUCUGUGGUGCUUUCUUUUGAAUCUUGUCAACAGUAACCAAUCUUCUUCCUUUGAUGGAUUGGAUUUUGGAAAAACAGCUCAAGUCAUUCAGAACUGAGUCUGCAGAAUAAGAGUGAACUAUUUAUCGC